rnacentral:tRNA from 1 species
GGCCUGUGGCUUGGUGGUAGAGCGUUUGCCUCACAUGUAUGCGGCACUGGGUUUGAUCCUCAGCACCA